rnacentral:tRNA from 1 species
UCUCCUGUAGCUCAGUUGGUAAAGAACCUGUCUGCAAUGCAGGAGACCCAGGUUCAAUUCAUGGUUUGGGAA